CUCGGCCUCGCCGCGCGCGCACGACCUGGCGCUGUGCGCGCGCCCGCUGUCGCUGCCGGGUGAAAGCCACCUCCGCACAGCACUGAGUAAAAAGUCAACCCAACAGAGCGAGCGGUUUUCCCUCCUGCAACACCCGCGGCCUCUCCGAAGACCUCACUCCCGGAGGGACGAAGACAGCGUGCAACUGGUGCAAGACUGUGAUAAGUAAUGCACUCUACAGGUUCCGUAUUCCUGAUAUCCAAGAGUUGAAGCAGUGGCAGAUGUCGAGGCAUGUUCGUUAGAUCCCUUCCAAAUUUUAGGGUCAAAAGGAGAUGGUUAUUGUGAAAAUUAAGAUCGAUAUUGUGCGGUCGAUAAUUUUUUUCCAUUGAAGGAUAUUGCGUGUAAUUAAGUCGAUUUUAAAGGCAGUGAAAUUGUUGGAUGAAGGGCUAAUACCUUGGGAACUAUGGUUUUGAGUCCAAAAUAUAUGGUUCAACGCCAAUUUUAAAAUAAAUGAUGGGUCGAUUAAUGUGAAGAUUUUGUCGGAAAUAAGUAUUCUAACGUCGAUAAAUUUAUCGAUAGAUUAUGGUGAUUCGCUAGUUUACUACUUUACCAUUCAUUAAAAUUAUUGAUCCCUAAAUUUUACUCUAUACAAUCUAGGGUUCCGUAGUUUUUGGUUAAAAAAGGGUGGGCUGUCGAGAAAAUCAAAGUCUCUGUCGAUAUACGAAUAAGUUGAUAUAUGUCGAAUGAACGAUAAAGUAUUGUUUCGAAGUCCUGCGAUGACUUCGCUGAUUCGUGCUUGUACCAUACCUAAAAUUUUCCAAUCCUGAAUUUGGAUUUUCUCAAAUAUAGAUUUGAGAAAAUCCAACCGAAAUUUGUAAUGGAUAGCCGUUACAAAUUUCGGGAUAUAAAGUUAUCUGUGAAAAUCAGUGUUAAUAUUAGAAAUGGUAAAGUCGAUAAAAAUGUCAGUAAUAUUACUACCUCAAGGUCAAUGGUAAUGCUAGAUUGUGGCUGUGCCAUGAGUAAUAAAAAUCGGCCGUUUCGAUUCCAUCAAAUCGGGAAUUAGAAACGUUUCGUCUGAUUGAUUUGCAAUCGUAUGUAGUUCGGUUUAAUGAUUACUAUUAAAUGAUUCCUACAGAGAUAUUAGUUUCUUUGGUUGAGAAAAAAUUGCACAGGUAGUUCACAGUAGUGUUGGCCGAAAUCGGUUAAAAUUAGAACGACACUAAUCAAAGAUUAUUUAUCGAUUUUUUGUAGUUAAAUUUACUUCAAUAUUAGUUCCUCUUACAAAGCUGAGUCUUUAGAUAUUCGUGUCUUAAAAUGCAAUUUAUUAGAAACGUUAAAAUAUAAGGCAGACCACAAUACAUUUUAUGGUCGAUAUCUUAAACGGUUUUAAUAUCGUGCAAAAUCUGGAUAGGGAUGUGUUUGUGUGCUGUCAAAUGUAAGCAGUCAUAUACGUUUAUCAUAGGUGUUUGUAUUCUUGUCAGUCGAAAAUUACAAUUCAUAAAACAACCCCGAUUUUAAUAAACAAUCUCAAUCGCUUUUUGUGAAUGAUCGCGAAAAUUUACUAAUAAGAAUAGUUUCUUUGACAAAUUUAUCAUUGACUUAAAUCGAUUGGUUUGUUCUUAGGUUCGACUCGACGAUUGAGAUUGUUUAUUUAAAUCGGUUUGUAGGCUCUAUGGACAGAUGGCGGUCGCUUCCUUAUAAUAAUAGCCAAAGCCUUCCUUCUUCCUAUUUGUAUUGAAUUAUCGCUAGCUAUUUCAAGAAAUUGUUUUACAUUGACCGCCUUUGAUUUUUUUUAAUCCAUAGAUAUGUUAUCGAGCUUUGUUUGUCUUAAUGCGUCGAGUAUACCUCAAAUUUCUAAGUAUCAAGUAUUCAUCUCUUACAGUCGUUUUCAACAGACAAUCCCAAUCUCAACCUUUAAUCCGAUACCGAGAAUGCACCAAUCAAACUAACUCAUUUGUAAGCGUGUGAAAUACAUCUUUGCUCUGAUUGGUCCAUUUUUGAGAUAGAUCUGGGAUGAGAUUUUGAGAUGGUUUAUUGAAAACGACGGUUAGUGGUUCUAUCUUAGGAAUUUGCAUGCAUGUUUAUCGAAGUUACAACUAUUUAUAUUUAUCACAGAGUUAAAUAGUUACAUCGUCAUUCGCUAUUGGCUUCGUACGCCCAGAAAAGUUCAAAUUACUUAAUAAACUAUUUUUUUGAAAGAUUUCUUCGAUAAUUGUUAAAAUUAGUUUUAUUCCGAAUUUUAGAUGUUGGAAUUUGUACUGAAAAUUGUGUUGGCAUCGAAUUUUUUAUGCGAAUGUUUUGAACGUUCAUUGGCGUCAAUAAAAUAUAAUCAAAUUUUGUCUUUUUGGCUUAUGGUUUUAAAUGUUUUAUUUCGUUGUUAAGAGUUUUAUAACCUUAUGAAAAGUUUUUAUCGACAACUUAAUUUUUUUGAUUAUUUUGUAAAUGAUUAUAUUACCAAAUAAGGUACUAUAUCUGUAAUUUUAACGUAAGACUAAGAGGUUUUUGAACAACACGCGAAUUCCUAAAAAUGCUCACCGUAGUGAAUAAUGCAACAUAUAACAUUUAGCACGAAGUUGACAUUUUUAUCGAUAUUAAAUAAAGUAACUUUCUCAUUAAAUCUAGUUAAAACUUCGACAAUAAACAUUAGUAUAGAGGUUUUAAUUCAAUCAAGUAAAAUUAACCAAUUUUCUUAUCUACUGUCGAUUUUUUCAUCUUAUAAUAUUGCGACAAUAAUUAAAUGAAACCAUGAUACAAAUUAUACAGCAUACAAUCGAUUAUAAUCUUGCGAAUAUAAUUUAUCGAUAUCGAUAAAAAUGUCAAUUCGUAUCGAUUUUUGGAUUAGAUACACUGAACAUAGUAUUUGAUUAGAACGGUAUUAUAUUGUUACAAUUAAAUAAGCUUUAUUAGUAAAAUAAUAUAGUUAAUAGUGUUACACGCAAAUAGUUCUAAGAACUUGUAAAAAAAAUAAUGGUUAUUGAUUUUUAGCGAUAUUAAGGAAAUGUGAGGAAUUAUACCAAAGGAGUUUUGAGUGGUACAUAACAUUUUUCGCCAUAUUUAUUUUUUUGCAGGCACGGCCAAGUGACCCCAUGCAUGCAUGGUAAGUGGAGUGGGGUCUAGAUAGAGAGUGACUGAUGAGAGACUGAUUAUCCCUCGCCAGUCGCCUCAACUUUGCCGGUCUAAUUCAAAAUCUUCUGUGUGUACUACAAACAUACAUAGGAGAUUUUAAUUUUAUAACGAUAUUAAAACAUUUACUUACACAACAAGAAUUCGAUUUUAAACUUGGAACAUUCGAUUUACUAAAGACUUCGUCAUAUCACACGUCAUUUUAAGGCUCAUAUUUAAUUAAAUUUAUUGUAUUUAUGUUUUCAUGAGAAUUAAGGUUUGCUUCCUUAUAGCUUGUUGUUUUAAGUUCUAAGAUGGUUAUAUAUUUUUAUAAAAACAAAUGAAGUUAUUUAAUGCUAAAGUACGCCUUCCAGGAAAUUGAUGCAGUAGCUGAAUUUGGUUUUUGGAUAUUUAUACAUUGUUACCGUCACUAGUCCCUAAUAUUAUGAAGUGUCCAUCUAACUAGUUUUUAAUUUUGUGUUUGUUUACGUUUUGUGUUGGAUAUUGGAAGUAUUUACAAUCGCAUUGUGGCAGUCCUACUCAUUCUAUUUUGUUGUACGUUACUGUAAAAAUUCUUGAGUUUUAGUACUUUAUAAUUUUUUUUACAGCCUUAAUACAUUGUGUUGUGUGAAUAUAUUUUUAUGAAUAUGUUGUAAGUGAAAAUCGUUACGAAUAGCAAAUGAAAUCCAUCUGACAGUAUAUAGGAUAUUUUUUUCUCGUAUCGAUAAUUUCAAAGUCGAUAUUUUGGCGAGAAUUAAUAUUGUAUGGUUACCAAUCUAUUUCAAGUUAUUGUUGUCAAUGGAAAUAAUAGCCUGUUUAUAUCUCGCUAAAGUCCUUAUUCUAUUAUAUUAAUGACGUUAUAUCCCGACUGUAUUUUCGGUGCUCUUUAAUUCAUCGAGCUUAGAACCUUAUUACUUUAGAAUAUUUAUUGUUCGUUUGUUAAAGUUUCGUGUGUCUAACGAAUAUUAUUGUUCUUAUAUUUGUAAAUUUGAUUGUGUUGGAACUAAUUAAGAGGACUUUGUAAUGUUAUAAAAAAUAUGUUUUUGAUAUUCAGUUUUUAUAAGUCUGUAAAAAAUUUGCCAACAUGACAUUAGUAUUUGUCUAAUAAAUAAUUAUUGAUUUUCAGGACAUUUUAUUGUUUUGUAAUGUAUUUUUAAUACGUUUAAUUGUUAUCGCUAAUCGUAUUAAAUCGAAAAUAUAUUUAAGUUAUUGUAAAAUAAAUAAUUUUCGCUAGACAAACAGUGUUUACCCUUGUUAAUUUGUUUAUUGUUUUAUAUUAUUCUAAUCCCCAGCAAAUACUCGCUUAGUGUAAGAUUUCAAUUUGUAGGAAAUGUACCAAGAUUGUAACGUGCCACACGAUAUAUUUCUAUAAAGGAUAAAUAUAUCGAUAUCGAUAAAUAAUGAGAGGUCGAUAAUUUAGAUUGAUAAAUGAUUUAAAUAUCGAUAUCGAUAAAAUAUAAAGCAAUAGUCAAGCGUGAAAACAACUGCAAGCUGUGUCAUUCCUUCCAAAAUAUUUUAAUUUAUUUUUAAAAUAUUUUGUAGUGUCUUAGGUUUAGUUAGAGCAUAUUGAAAAUAUUUUUUAUCGAUUUUCGGUGUCGCGUAUUUUUAUCUCUAUUUUACGUUGGAGGUUACAAACACUUGAUAGAAAUAUGAAAAUUGAAAUAAAGGUUAAGUUAUGUGCUAUAAAUAUAUGUAAAUGUAUAGUUUCAAAUAGUUUUACUUUUAAUUCGAUAUUAGUAUAAGUGCAAUCAUUUUUACGUUUAUGAUUCGUGCCAUUCAUUUACUAAUGUCACGGUCAGCAUAAAAAUAUAAUUUUAUCGAAGACUAUUUUAACGAUUUAAAGCUUAUUGAAUUUAAAACGACAUAAUCGCUACCACAUUUAGAUUUUUUUAAUCAUGUAAUUACUUUUUAUUCUGACCGUAAUAUACCAACCAAAGAGUAGGCCAAUUGUACCGUAUUACAUGUGUGUAGGGUUAAAUGUACGGUGUUAUGUUGUGUCGCGGACAUUCGCUGGUCGAUGUAGCCGCCGUGUCUGUAUAGAGUUAAUAAAGAACUAUUACAUUUA
rnacentral:lncRNA from 1 species